rnacentral:lncRNA from 1 species
AGCGGCCCCCGGUGCAGCCCAUGGCUUGCGAGACCUGUGGGAGCGCGCUGAUCCGAGGGACGCCCCCUGCCGGCCUCGGGAAGGAGCGAAACAGGCCAAAAGCACAAGUUAAAAUCAUGGGCUGUAAUCAGCAGAAUCAAGAAAGUGCCCAUUCCAUCUACAGAAUGGCGGGGAAGAAAGGAGGAGGUGGGAGCUCCGGCACAUUCAUGUUUGUCCCCCAGAAGUUCAUGUGGGGGCACAAAUGGAAGGUGACUAGAUUACAGGGCUCCGCCCUUGUGAAUGGAUCCAUGCUGUUUCUUGGGAGUGGACCAGGUCUCACAAGAGGGGAUUAGAUCCUGUGAGUGCAAGCUGUUAUAAAAGAGCAAGCCUAGCCUCUCUCCAUUCUGUUGCUUCCUGUCUCACCCUGUGACAUCUCUUUGGAAUGUCUUCCACUGUGAUAUAACAACAGGCGCCACCAGGGGCCAAACAAAGGAGUUUUCGGUCUCUGAAAUGGAUCUUUUCUUUAUAAAGGACACAAACUCAGGUGUUUUGUUAUGGCAACACAAAGUGGACUAAGAUUCUAGAGUUGUCAAAUUCAUAAAGAUGGAAAAUAGAAUGGUGGUUGCCAAGGGCUGGGGCUGGGGCUGGGGGUAGGGAAGGGAAGUGGGAGGUGUUAGUGGGUAAGGAGUUUCAGUGUGGGAAAAUAAAAAGUCGUGGAGAGGGAUGGGUGAUGGCUACACAAGAAUGUGUAUAUACUUAAUGCCACUGAACUAUCACUUUACAAUGCUGAAAAUGGUGAAUUCUUGUGUGUAUUUCACUACAGCAAAUUUUAAAAGGAGAGAGAUUUAGAACAUCCAUACACUCAAUGCAGUGCUUGGAUUUUGGGCCCUGAUUCGAACAAAUCAAUACAUCAAUCGAACAAAUCAAUUUUAAAAACAUAGUAUAUAAGGUAAAAUGUUGAAUAUGGGAUUGGAGAUUUAUAGAUUGUCAAAGUCUUAAUUGUAAUUCUGUUAUUGUAGUAAUUUAUAAAGAGUUCUUAUCUUUUAGAAAUACAUUCUGUAAUAUUUACAACUGAAAUUAAAUAUUUAAAAUUUUCUUUAAAAAUAAUCUACUCUUGGCCUGGGAUGGAGCUCAGUGGUAGAGUGUUUGCUAGCACGUGUGAGGCUCUGGGUUUAAUCCUCAGGACUGUACACACCAUAAGGAUUGUUCAGCACAGUGACACAUACCUUGGGAGCCUGGGGCAGGAUGAUUGCAAGUUUGAGGCCAGCCUGGGCAACUAAGCGAGACUCUGCCUCAAAAUAAAAAAGUCUAGGAGUGUAGCUCACUGACAGAGUGCUUGUCUAGUAUGCAUGAAGCCCUGGGUUCAAUCAUCAGGACUGAAAGAAAAAAAAAAUCUAACCUGUUGGAUAGAGACGUAGAUGAAAGAAGAUUGGCCAAGUGGGAUUGUCAAAGCUGGCCAAAGGAUACAUGGGAUUCACUUCACAUUUGUAUGCUUGAAAUUUUCCAAAAUAAAAAGCUUUCUAAAAGCUAGACCCCUAUGUAUAAAGAUCCCCUCUGGCCAUCUCUAAGGCGCCCAUCAUCCCUGCGCUGGUUUACUGCAAGGCUCUCCUAAAGGCCUCCCUGUCUGCCAACCCCCCAACCCUCACACCCUGGUCUCCCGGACUCCCCUUCCUACUAUUGCAAUGGGUCAACCUGAGGGAUGCUGUUAAAGCCUCAUGGUACCUCUGCUUGGAAACUUCCGGUUCCUGUAUGGUUCAGGUUUCGGAGAGUAAUCAGCAAUGCAAGAGCGCUGAGAGAUGAUUAGGGCAUGAGGUCUUUGCCCUCAAGAGUGGACUCAUGGAUUAUUCCAGGAGUGGGAUCCUGAGAGGAAGAAGAGUUUGCCCCUCACCCACACCCCACCUCCUGCCAUGGGUGAUAUAGCAAGAAGGCCCUCCCCAGAUGUGGGCUCCUUGAUCUUGGAGUUCCCAGCCUCCAGGACUAUAGGAAAUAAAUCUGUUCUCCAUGAAUUACUAUUCCUGGUAUUCUGUUAUACAGCACAAAAUGGACCAAGAUGACUCCUCAUCUCCAGACGGAACAGUAGCCUAAGGAGUCCUGUGUGGGGCACUGACAGCCCACACCCUUCUGACCUCCUCUCCAGCACCUCCCUGCCCACUCCUUCCAGCCACACC